CUUCCCUCAGUGAUGGGCUGUUUACCUGGAAGUAUAAGCUGAAAUAAACCCGUUCCUCCCCAAGUUGCUGUUGGUCACGAUGUUUCAUGACAACAAUAGAAACCCUAAUUCAAACAAAGCUGCUUCUGGACUCACCCAGCACACUAUUUAAUAGCUUAUUUGAUUAUAAUUGUGUGUGAACUCUAAAAUGAUUUGAAGUAAAUACAUAAACCAGAAAGUCUUUUCACUAUCAAGUAUUAUGUGCUAUCUAUAAUUUAUAUAGUAUACUUUUAUCUGACUGGCACAGCAGUCAGUCACAUGAGAGUACAACAAACAUGCAACGUGGUGAGUAACAAUAUUACGAUGACUACAGCACCACUAGGUAACAGGACAUUUUCAACUCCAUUACAAUUUUAUGGGAGCACUGCUGUAUAGAAGCCAUCAAUGACUAUAAACGUCAUAGGGCACGAGACUUUAUUAGACAUGAAACACCAUAUUUUCAUCAUAGGAUAAUUAAUUAUACACCAUACCCUGGCAUUUAGUAUGUAGGACUCAACCCUACAGGGUUGUAUGCCCUUCUGGCACCAUAGCUGAGCUUUCAACAGCCUGUUCUAUGCUAUUAAGCACUCUGUAAAGCUAUGAUAGCUGGCACGAAGAUGGCAGAUCCUGGCAGAGAAGGUAAAUCCUUUCACAGAAUAUAUAACCAAUUCUGAACAAUUAAUGCUCUCUUGAUGAUAUAAAAGACCCAAGUAAUUGAAUUGGCACAACAUAGCUUUCUGCUCCACUCAAGAUAUGAUGGGAUAUCAAGGGCCACUGGCAGGUUGGUAGCAUAUAAUAGAUGAGCAUCAGUGAAGGGAAACCCACCCACUGGGGCAGCAAUCCAUUGUGCCAAUCCAUGGUGCCAAUCUUUCUGCUGAUCCAUCUGUAAAUUAGUCUUGAGUUCCUCCUUUCACUGGCAUUUGACAGUACUAGACUUCCAGUAUGAUGCAAAAUAGGAAUGAAUUGAAAGGAAGGAGACAGUAAUUAAUAAAAACAAACAGUGUAUGUCUAGGCCACCUGCUCCUACAUUUUAGUCUUGUCUGCUGGACCCGCCUAAGCCCAGUCCUCUGAGUACCAUGAAAGGAUACUAUUGUUCGUCCCCAGUAUCACAACUAGGUGGGAUAUGUACUACCCAGUUUGUUGUAAGCAGUUCGUUAUGCUUAGUUCCAUGGUACCUCUGACGGCCACAUCCUAAAGCAAACCCUAAUGAGGCCCACCCUUAUAUAAUUCCCUCCUCUGAAGUAUAAGUGGGGUCUGAAACUACCAGACAAGAGAUGACAGCCAAGGAGAUGAAAUCAUUGUCACAUUGUCACGAUUGUCAUAUGGGAAGCUGCAUAGGAUCACAUGGAAAGAUAGAGAACCAAUAAUAUGCCCUAAUAAGUAUACUAAUAAAGUUUAAUGAAGAGAUUCCGCCCUAGCAUACUGGAAUAAGAGCCUCUCUAGCUGGCUCUUGAUGAUGUAUGCCUGUGAGAAGGUCACUUGGCAAGGAACUGUGAGCAAUCUUAGGCCAAGCCAGGCCCAUGAUCAACAAGCCCUAAAGCUGUGUAACACUGAAUUCUGUCAACAAGCAUGUGAGUUUUGAAGAGGAGCCCAAGCUCCGUAAAGGAAUGCACCCUGGCCAAAGCCUUGACUGCAUCCUUGCAAGACCCUGUGCAGAGGACCUUCCUGAGCCAAGAUCAGAUUCCUGAAACAUAGAGAAGCACUAUUUGUUGAUUUAAAUAGGUAUGUUUAUGGCAACAUUGUAACUCAGCAAUAGUUAGCCAAUACACUGAGGAGUAACCUGGCACUCAGUCUCUAUUAGCACAUCACAUGGUAUUCUAAAGAGAAUGGUUUUCUGCCAACAACGCUUGUCCAGCCCUGUUCCAGAGCCUAAGAGAUCUACACUGUGAUUUGCCUAAGGGGUUGCCUGAAAAUAAAUGUACAAAAAUCUCAUUGUAAGAUGGUCUAGAGACUGGCUGCAGAAAUCCCCAUGCCCCUGGCCUCCACUGAAACUAGCAUCCAUCUAGUUACCAAAAGAAGAUCAAAAUGAAUCAAUAUUCUCAUUAGAGUUUGUAUUCUAUACAAACUUGCAAAUAACAAAACAGUACUUUUUCAGUGGUCAGGGGUGCAAAGUAUAGUAUUAUAGACUUGGAGUAAAUGUUCUACCCCAGGCUUCUGAAACUAUAAAAAUUCUCAAAGCGGAUAUAUUCAUCAAUAUAAUGAGUUAAUAUGAUAUUUUGUGUAGAGUUAAAAUAAUGCUGAAAUAGGUGGUAAGCAUGCCCUCCUCAUAUAAACUACCCUUUAACUUUUUAUUGACAUAUAAUUGGCAUACAAAAUAUGGAGAAUUUGUGGUCUUUUGAUAUUUAUUUAUUUAUUUAUUUGUUGUAUAUUAAUUUUGUCUGCAUAUGUGUGUACCACAUUCAUGCAGGUGCCCAGAGAGGCCAAUUCCCCUAGAGCUGGAAUUAUAGACAUUCUGAACCACCAUGCAGGUGCAGGAACUCUAACCCAAGACCUAUGCUAGAGUAGUAAUUGCAACUUUCGAUCAUCCCCCCCAAAAGUACAUUCAUGUUUUCUUCCAGUUAAUCUCUUGUUAAUCCAGAGGCGAACUCUUUCUGGUUUUUCUCUACAUGGAUUUGCACUGCCUGAAUCUUGGAAAUCAUAUUAGUGGAGUCAUACAGCACUCAUUUUUAUAUGCCUAGUUCUUUUGUGGAAAUAAUGCAAAGAGGUUCUCAAUUCUCCCUACUGAUAAGCACCAAAUAAUUUUCAAGAUCUGACUCUUAUUUACUUGAAGGCAAUGAGGAUAGUGAGAUGGAACUUGAGAAACGCAAUCUAAGAAGGCACUUACUUAAAGUGCAAUCAUUAUGCAAUGCUUAUGAAAAAGAAAGUUAUUCUCUGGAAAAGGAAAAGGGCUAGUCUUACAGCAAGAAAAGUUAAGGAAUUUGAUUCAUCCUCCUAAAUCACAGCAUAGAUCUCUGUGUUCCAAUAUUUCCCUCUCUGAUGUUGACAUAGUGGACCUGGCAAUACUGUAGUAUGUGCACUUGGUCAUUUUCAUAUCUGAACCACGCCUAUCAUCAGAUCCUGAGCCUGAUUUUUACUGCAAUCUGCUCUGCAGUUCUUCAUGGUCAAGGUCUCCUUUAAGAUUAUCAUAAAAGCAGAGAUUCUACUUCAGUCAAAUACUAGAUUCUAAAAUCCUUAUGAAGAGCAUUGUUUGUAUGCCAAGUAGGUGUGAUAGCAACAUAACUUGUCCAUCUCUUGUGCUCCACCUAUAUAUCAUAUCUUCAAAAUAGCACACACCAUGGGUAAAAGCUCAAGUAACUGUAAUAUUCCUCAUAGGAAGGGGAUUAGGACAGCUGAACAAUACAGACCUAAAACCCCAUCCUGACCAUUUGAUUCAAGAACUAAUUCUUGACUGGUAAGAUGGUUCUGCAGGUAAAACACUUGGUGCACAAAGCCUGAUGACCUGAGUUUGAUGCCUGGAACCCACGAUGGGAAGGGAGAACCCGUUUCUAAAAGUUAUACUCUGCACUCCAUACGAACACUAUGGCAUACACACGAGAGUUCUGACUGGCACCCUCUACUAGUGGGCUGCAGGCAUCUGUUGGAAGCCAGAUGCCCACAUGCCAAGCUCCUUGCUCAGUCAAGAAAAGACACACUGUCCAGACUUGGUUUCAUCAGGAAAGCCUCUGGCAAACAAAAAGAACUUUGUGUCAAAGUCUUUCUCCUACAUUGGCUACCAGCUGUAAUAGCAUCUGAACUUCCUAUGACUCUGUUGACCAGAACAUAGUGACAUGUACUUCUCACUCAACUGGCAAGGAUUCCUUUCUUUCCCAGAGUCCCAGUUACAUGUGCCAGAACUCAAUAAUGAGUUGCCCAGUCCCUGUCCACAAAGACGUAAUUCAUGGG